rnacentral:rRNA from 1 species
GACGAACGCUGGCGGCGUGCCUAAUACAUGCAAGUAGAACGCUGACGCAGGAGCUUGCUUCUCUGGCUGAGUUGCGAACGCGUGAGUAACGCGUAGGCAACCUGCCUUGUAGCGGGGGAUAACUAUUGGAAACGAUAGCUAAUACCGCAUAAUAGUAGAUGUUGCAUGACAUUUACUUAAACGUUGCAAUUGCCUCACUACCAGAUGGCCAUGCGUUGUAUUAGCUAGUUGGUGGGGUAACGGCCCACCAAAGCGACGGUUCAUAGCCGGGCUGAGAGGGUGGUCGGCCACACUGGGACUGAGACAAGGCCCAGACUCCUACGGGAGGGAGCAGUAGGGGAACAUCGGAAAUGGGGGGAAGGCUGAACGCACAACGCCGGGGGGGGGAAGGAGGUUCUCGGGUCGGUAAGGUCUGUUUGAAGAGAAGAAAGAGUGGGAGAGUGGAAAGUUCACACUGUGACGGUAGCUAAACAGAAAGGGACGGCUAACUACGUG